UACGGAGGAUGCGAGCGUUAUCCGGAUUUAUUGGGUUUAAAGGGUGCGUAGGCGGCUUAGUAAGUCAGCGGUGAAAUUUUGCAGCUUAACUGUAACAGUGCCGUUGAUACUGCCAGGCUAGGAUUUGGUUGCUGUGGGUGGAAUGUGUGGUGUAGCGGUGAAAUGCUUAGAUAUCACACAGAAUAUCAAUUGCGAAGGCAGCUCACAAAGCCAAGAUUGACGCUGAGGCACGAAAGUGUGGGGAGUCAAACAGGA
rnacentral:rRNA from 1 species